AGCAUCACGGGGAUCACCAAAUUCCUGAUUUCGAAAAUGUGAGGACAAAAGAGACCACAUGCAUGGUGUGUUUUCCCACAUUAUACAUUGGUUCCGACUAAAAAACGUACUACAUGACUUUUUCAAGAAAUCGAAAGCUCAGGUUAAAAGGAGAUUUUACUUACAACGAAAGCAUAAUCUCGCUUCAUAUCCACAUCUCGCACUCUGCGGAAGAAAUUGUUGGCAGAAAAGUAAGGCCAUCAUUACUUUAAGGUACUUCUAAACACCAUUUUUGAGACUGAGUCUCCAUUUCCAUCAAAACACAUUAAAAAAUUCUACAAACAGAAUCGCCAAGGCGCCCUGUCCCCUAAACACUUGGCGAGAAUUUCCACCAAGUCCACCCACUCAUCAAACACCUCCAGGUUAGGCAAAAUCCCAGAGACCUUCAAUAAGAUCAUUCAAGUUAAAAACAUACACUAAUGACUAAACCUAGUUCCACAACUUUCCCUCAAGAACACAAAUAUCAAAAUACAGAACCAAAACUAUGCCCCUCGAUGCUUAAUGACGACUUUCUGCAUCUCUCCCUCGCACUAACAAUUUUCAUAACCAAGAUAUAUAGAAAGGCGCAUGAAGACUCUCAUUUAACUAACCCCAACACAUAGAAAUCAAUAUGUCAAGAUAAAGAAGCAUUAUGCUCCUCGAUACUUUUAACUUUCUGCAAUUGUUUCCUCGCACAAUAGCAAUUUACGUACUAUAUAACUAGAAAAAUCACAUUGAGACCAUCAUUUAUUCCAAUUACCGAGAAAUCAAAAUACUUCGUCCAUAAUCAUAGAUAGAAGAGUCAAUUACCUUCCGUAUCUGCUAAAAAGACGU